GCGGAAAUAGCGCAGUGGUAGCGCGUCACCUUGCCAAGGUGGAUGUCGCGGGUUCGAAUCCCGUUUUCCGCUCUA
rnacentral:tRNA from 1 species